GACGAACGCUGGCGGCGUGCUUAACACAUGCAAGUCGAACGGAAAGGCCCUGCUUUUGUGGGGUGCUCGAGUGGCGAACGGGUGAGUAACACGUGAGUAACCUGCCCUUGACUUUGGGAUAACUUCAGGAAACUGGGGCUAAUACCGGAUAGGAGCUCCUGCUGCAUGGUGGGGGUUGGAAAGUUUCGGCGGUUGGGGAUGGACUCGCGGCUUAUCAGCUUGUUGGUGGGGUAGUGGCUUACCAAGGCUUUGACGGGUAGCCGGCCUGAGAGGGUGACCGGCGAAAUUGGGACUGAGAUAAGGGCGGGAGUCGGCAGGGAGGGAGCAGUGGGGAGGAGUGCAGCAUGGGGGGAGGAUGGAUGCAGCAAGGCCGGGGGAGGGAUGAAGGAUGUGGGGUAGGAAAAAGAUUUCGCCUGUGACGAAGCGUGAGUGAAGGUAAGGGGUAAAGAAGAACCGGGUAGUUAGGUG
rnacentral:rRNA from 1 species